UCUCCUGACAAAAGGUACCACUCGAAUUGCAGCUCUUUGCCCUCUCCUUCCUAAUAUGUUUAUAUCCGAUUUUAAUUCCUCUAAGGUUCUGAUUAUGUUUUCCUGAUAUCUGAAUUUCAGUAGUUUCUGCAUGUGAUUUGAUUUAGGUUUCUCUGCUCCAAUUUAUCUUCUAAACUCAUUCUAUGAUUGGAAAAGAAACUAUAAGGAUUGAAUCGUUGUUCUCAUAUUGUUGUUGUUGUGUUUUAGUAAUAACUGGCUUAUUGCUGUUUAUUUAUGAUUCAAGUUGUUAUAUAUUUUAUUUAAAUGCAAAGA
rnacentral:lncRNA from 1 species